rnacentral:lncRNA from 1 species
GACCGCCCCGCUCCUUCCCCCGGAGGAGGGCCGGGUGGAGAAUCCUAUGUUCCAGUUUGUUUUUGUUCUGCCACUGGCUACCCAGCCAGUGGUACCCAAAACUUCACUAAAAGAGCAGUUUCCUUUGCCUCCGGGUCCCAAGAGGGCGAGGACGGCGGUGCACGAGACCCAGUCUCCACACAGCCGACCCCCUCUCCCUUCGCUAGUGGGCAGCAGGGUUCAGUUCAAGGACGCUACGCCUCCUCACGAGCCCCCUGCCCACCAGUGGAGCCAGGUAAGUCGCGCGCUGCGCACUCAGACCCCACCCUGGGACGCGCGGCCUCCCGGGUUGGGUCCCUGUGUUCCACUUCGCUGCCCCACUGCGGGUACGUCGGUGGUCGCCCUGGUCCCGCUAGUUCGGUCGCUGGGGGCCUGGUUAGCGCUCCCCAGGCCGUCUCGCUGGCUCCUGAGAACCAUCAGACUCGGCUACGCGAUUCAAUUCGCCCGGCGCCCUCCCAAGUUCAGGGGCAUUCGGUUCACCUCUGUGCCGGACAAGGAUGCUCCUGUCUUGCGUACAGAGAUCGCGGUCCUGCUAGCGAAGGACGCGAUACAGCCGGUCCCUCCAGCCGAGAUGAGGUCGGGCUUCUACAGCCCAUACUUCAUCGUACCCAAGAAAGGCGGUGGGUUACGACCGAUCCUGGACCUGCGCGUACUGAACCGGACCCUUCACAAGCUCCCGUUCAGGAUGUUGACACAGAAACGCAUCUUUCAAUGCGUCCGUCCUUUCGAUUGGUUUGCAGCGGUCGACCUCAAGGACGCGUACUUUCAUGUCUCGAUUCUCCCUCGACACAGACCGUUUCUCCGCUUUGCGUUCGAAGGGCGAGCAUAUCAGUACAAGGUCCUCCCCUUCGGGCUAUCCCUGUCGCCUCGUGUCUUCACCAAGGUCGUGGAGGCAGCCCUCGUUCCAUUGAGGGAAGCGGGCAUUCGCGUUCUCAACUACCUCGACGACUGGCUCAUACUGGCCCAGUCCCGAGCACAGUUGUGCGAACACAGGGAUAUGGUGCUCAGUCACCUCAGCCGAUUGGGGCUUCGGGUCAACUGGGAAAAGAGCAAACUCUCUCCGGUGCAGAGGAUCUCUUUUCUCGGCAUGGAGCUGGACUCGGUCAACCUCUCGGCACGUCUCUCAGUAGAGCGUGCGCAGUCGAUGCUGAACUGCCUGGGGUCCUUCCAGUGCAAGACGGCGGUUCCACUGAAACAAUUUCAGAGGCUCCUGGGGCAUAUGGCAUCCGCAGCCGCUGUCACGCCGCUCGGGUUGCUUCAUAUGAGACCGCUUCAGCGUUGGCUUCACGACCGGGUCCCGAGAUGGGCAUGGCGACACGGCACUUACCGGGUUUCUGUUACCCCGUUCUGCCGUCAGACCCUCAGCCCAUGGACAGAUCUUGCCUUUCUUCGGACAGGAGUAUCCCUUGGGCAAGUAUCCAGGCAUGUUGUUGUGUCAACAGAUGCCUCCGCCAGGGGCUGGGGUGCCAUGUGCAGUGGGAAUGCAGCUGCGGGGCUCUGGUCGGGGCCCCGACUACAGUGGCAUAUCAACUGCCUCGAGUUGCAAGCAGUAUGGCUGGCUCUGCGCCGCUUCAAAUCGCUGCUACACGACAAGCACGUACUGGUCCGUACGGACAACACUGCGACCGUUGCGUACAUCAACCACCAGGGCGGUCUACGCUCCCGUCGCAUGUCGCAACUCGCCCGCCAUCUCCUCCUCUGGAGUCAGAAGCAUCUGAGGUCGCUUCGCGCCGUUCACAUCCCAGGCGAGCUCAAUCGUGCAGCCGACGAGCUCUCACGUCAGCCCGCCCCUCCGGGAGAAUGGCGACUCCACCCCGAGACAGUCCAGCUGAUUUGGAGACGCUUUGGGGACGCUCAGGUAGACCUGUUUGCCUCCCCGGACACGUCCCAUUGCCAGUGGUUUUACUCCCUGGCCGAGGGACCCCUCGGCACGGACGCACUGGCGUGCAGCUGGCCUCGGGGCCUACGCAAAUAUGCGUUUCCCCCAGUGAGCCUUCUCGCACAGACACUGUGCAAGGUCAGGGAGGACGAGGAGCAGGUCCUCUUGGUGGCGCCAUACUGGCCCAGUCGGACUUGGUUCCCCGAACUGAUGCUCCUCGCGACAGCCCCUCCUUGGCGAAUUCCUCUGAGGAGGGAUCUCCUUUCUCAGAGAGGGGGCACCCUCUGGCACCCGCGUCCAGACUUGUGGAAUCUCCACUUAUGGUCCCUGGACGGGACGCGGAGGUUCUAGGUGGGCUACCUCCAGCGGUAGUAAACACCAUCGCUUCAGCUAGAGCCCCGUCUACCAGAC